rnacentral:rRNA from 1 species
GAUGAACGCCGGCGGCGUGCCUAAUACAUGCAAGUCGAGCGAAUGGAUUAAGAGCUUGCUCUUAUGAAGUUAGCGGCGGACGGGUGAGUAACACGUGGGUAACCUGCCCAUAAGACUGGGAUAACUCCGGGAAACCGGGGCUAAUACCGGAUAACAUUUUGAACCGCAUGGUUCGAAAUUGAAAGGCGGCUUCGGCUGUCACUUAUGGAUGGACCCGCGUCGCAUUAGCUAGUGGGUGAGGUAACGGCUCACCAAGGCAACGAUGCGUAGCCGACGUGAGAGGUGAUCGGCCACACUGGGACUGAGACACGGCCCAGACUCCUACGGGAGGCAGCAGUAGGGAAUCUUCCGCAAUGGACGAAAGUCUGACGGAGCAACGCCGCGUGAGUGAUGAAGGCUUUCGGGUCGUAAAACUCUGUUGUUAGGGAAGAACAAGUGCUAGUUGAAUAAGCUGGCACCUUGACGGUACCUAACCAGAAAGCCACGGCUAACUACGUGCCAGCCGCCGCAGUAA